CUCCGACCGCCCUCUGACGUCUCUCAUACCACCAUCUACCUCCCUACCUCUCCAUCUCUCAUCUCCGCUCCCCCCUGGCCUCCCCUAUCCUUCCCUCCGCCCCCACCCCCACCACACAGAAAGGAUAGGUCUCGGUUAUUUCUCGCAGCCAUCCACCAUCGCCGCAGCUCUCGAGCCCAUUUCCAAACCCUAGGCUGGUUCUCCUCUCGCAUCCAGUCUAGGGUUCAAGCCUCAGUCUCUCAGGAGCCGUUUGCGAAUCAGGCCUCUUUGUUGCAAAACCCUAAAGUUUCUGGAAAAAUUCAGUCAUUGGUAUAAUUUGAGCUGGAGAGUUUUUUAUCACCAUGGGAUUUGAUAAUGAGUGCAUACAGAAUAUUCAAUCUCUUCCUGGUGAAUAUUUCUGUCCGGUGUGCCGGACGCUUAUCUAUCCUAAUGAAGCACUACAGUCCCAGUGCACCCAUCUAUACUGCAAGCCUUGCUUAUCCUAUAUUGUGGCUACUACUCAUGCGUGCCCUUAUGAUGGUUAUCUUGUGACUGAAGCAGAUUCCAAGCCUCUGAUAGAAUCCAACAAAUCACUUGCUGAUACCAUUGGCAAUGUAGCGGUUUACUGUCUCUACCACAGGAGUGGUUGCCAAUGGCAGGGUACUUUGUCUGACUCCAUUACACAUUGCACUGGAUGUAGUUUUGGAAACUCUCCUGUUGUUUGCAACAGGUGUGGAACACAGAUAAUACAUCGCCAAGUCCAAGAGCAUGCACAAAUAUGCCCUGGCUUGCAACCUCAGGCACAACAGGUAGAGAAUGCCCAGGUUCAAGCUUCAACAGUGCAGAAUCAAGCUGUUAACCAAGAUACGUCAGUAGCUCCUGCAUCAACAACAUCAACUUCUUCAACAACCCCUGCAUCAGCUGCUUCAACAACUGCUGCCACAACAAUUUCAUCUACUGUUACUCCAACAACUGCUGCUGCAGCAGCCCCUGCUUCUGCUUCUGCAGCUACCCCUGCUACUUCUAGUCAGGGACAAACCCAAGCCAAUGCAACAACCUAUCCACAAGCUGUGACACAGGCUCCAACCCCUGAGCAGUGGUACCAGCAGCAGCAACUGCAAUACCAGCAAUAUUACCAGCAGUAUCCUGGAUACUACCCUUAUCAGCAGCAAUAUCAACAGUAUGGUCAAUAUCAGCCGCAAUUCUACCAACAAUAUUCUCAACCCCAGAUGCUGGUUGCUCCCCAGCAUGCUACUCAAGGACAACAGCAGCCUUCACCUUAUAUGCCGCAGCAACCCCAUAUCCAGCAUCAUCCUCAACAACAGGCCCAGCCCCAGCCCCAAGCCCAGCUCCAGCCCCAGCCCCAGCCCCAGCCACAAGCCCAGCUCCAGCCCCAGCCCCAGCUCCAGCUCCAGCCCCAACCACAAGCCCAGCUCCAGCCCCAGCCCCAAACACAAGCCCAGCUCCAGCCCCAGCCCCAGCCCCAAGCACAAGCCCAGCUCCAGCCCCAGCCCCAGCCCCAACUCCAAUCCCAGCCUCAACCUCUGCCCCAGGCCCAGCCACACCCCCAGGCAGCCCAGCCGCAGUUGCCACAGCAACAUCUUCCUCAACCACAACAACCACACCCACAGCUCCAGCCUCAUCCACAUGCUCAAGUUCCGCAAAUGCAGGCACAACAGAUUCAUGUACCUGCUCAGCAUCCACAUCAUCAUCCCCAAACAACACACCCACAACCUCAGCCUCAUCCCCAAGUGCAACCACCACAGCAGCAUCCAGGACUUCAACAGUCUAUUCCACCGCAACAACAUCCACAACCCCAAAUGCAACAUCCACAAGCCCACCCUCAAGGGCCUCAACACCAGCCCUAUCCACAACCUCAAUCCCAGGCUUAUCUACAUGCCCAUUCCCAACCUCAGUUUCAACAACAGCCUGUGCAGCUGCAACCCCAUCCCCAGUCUCAACCCAAUAUACAGCCACAGCCACAACCAGUUCUGCAGCCACAACCUCAGUAUCCAUCAGCUCGUGCAGUGACAGGACAUCAAUCUUAUCCACAUCCGCAAUCGCUCCAACAAAUCCCACCUGGUGCCCCACAGCAACGCCCUUUGCACAUGCAUCCUCAACAACCUGUUCAAGUGCAGAAUCAGUUUCCAUCCCAACAGCCUCCUCAGAUGCGUCCGCCACAUGGUCAUUUGUCGAUGCAAGUCCAGCAACAGUCAGCUAUGCCUCAUCCUCAAGGCCCUCAUACAAAUCUUCAUCCUUCUCAACAACAAGUGCACCAGCAUCCUGGCAUGCGGCCGCAGGGACCACAGCAGGGUUUGCCUCCAUUACAAGCACAAAGUCAUAUGCAUCCAAGCCUAGCACAUCAGCAGGGGAUGCCCCCACCACAGCAUCUAAUUCAUCCUCAGCAACCUGUGCAUCCUCAGGGCCCACCUUACAUCCAGCAAUCUUUUCCUGCACAGCCCCACUCACAGCAGAGUUUGCCUCAAUCUCAGGGUAUGCCGACUCUUCCAGCUCAGGCUGUAGCUGGUAGGCCGGCUAUGAUGGUAAGUCAUGGAAUGCCACAACAAUCAUUUCAACAGUCUACAGGUGGUCCCACUAAGCUUAUGCAGCCUGACAUGAGCCACAAAUCACCGAGUCAGAAUCAUAUGGGGCGAUCCGCUGCUCAUUUGGCAAUAUUGUCGGAAUUGCAGCCAGGGCCAGUGCAGCAGUCUCAGCUCGCACACUCUGGGAGCCAGGGUACAUUAGUACCUGUAUCAUCUGUUAUGCGGCCAGGGAUAUCAGAUAAAGCAGGUCAUGCAUCUGAGCUGGAGGCAGAAAUGGUUUCAAAAAUUGCUGAAGGGACUGAAGCAAAUAAAUCAGAUCAUGCACAGAUUGAAGCAUCUGAAUCAGCUGAAGUGAAGAUUCCCAGCUCAAAAUCUGCAAUCAAUAAGGAUGAAGUUAUUGGAGAGGGUAAGAAGGAUAUCCAACCUGAUGGAGAUCACAAGAAUAUAUCAGAAUCAGCACGUGUUCAUGGGGAAGGACUUGAGUCACAUGCAAAAGAUGAAAAAGCAGAAGUGCCAGAGAUUAAACUGGUAAAAAAGGAAGAAACUACCAACUUGCCAGAUGUGGGAGCUGAAAGUUCCCAUGUUCUGAAAGAUGUACAGGGAGACAGAGUUAUUCAAAUUCUAGAAGCUGAUCUCAAGGAAAAGUCUGCACAUGUUGAGGGUAGAGAUGCUCAUCUAUCACUGGAUGCUACUGAAACUGUUCAAUCUGGUCAGGUUCCUACUGAGGCUGGACGGCGGGAGUCUUUGGGCUCAGUUUCUCAGAAAACUAGUCAAACUAUUGUCUCCCAAGGCCAUAUCUCUGGAGAUAGUGCUCAUGUACAGUCUCUACAACAAGUGUCAACACCUGGUGGUCUAGAUAGAAGUCAGCUGCAACAGUCGUCACGCCAAAAUGCUUUUUCAGCCAAUGAAAGAGCAUUUCUGCAGCCUGGUUAUCAUGACAGAAAUCCAUCCCAAUUCAUGGGUCAAGGUCCUGGAUCAGGGGUGCUCCAAGGCAUGCCUCCAGCAGGUCCAGCACCCAGUCACGAGAGAUUCUUGCAUCACAUUCCUUAUGGACAUCCUUCAAAUAUGAUGGAUGCAGCCCAAAGACCUCCUGUACCUCACAAUGUACCACAUCCUGGUCCCAUACAAGAAAGAAGGUUUCAGGAGCCUCUCCAUCCAAUGCAGGCGCAUGGGAUAGCAAGUCAAAUUAGACCUCAUGGUAGUAAUUUCCCUGAAACUUUACCUCAUCCGGGGCAGCGAUCAGCUGUUCCAGAACCUUUCCAGCCACCUCCGGGGCAACAACCUUAUGGUUCAUAUCAUUCUGAAGUGCCAUCUGCUGGGCCCCCAGUAGCAGGCUUGUCUACCUCCUCUGCAAGGGCUCCCACCCAUUUCGGGCUCCCACAGAAAGGUUUUCCAGAUCAAGCUAUGACUCCACAAGGGCAAGGCCAGGGGCAUAUGCUGCCGCCUCAUGUUGGUGUGGCAAGACCUGCUUUUCCUGAUGGCAGGCAGCCUGAGCCACCUUUUGCCCAGUCAAAUUCAGUGAAACCAAAUGGAAUUCCUGGUCAGAGGCCACCUAUUGGUCAUGUUUUGACAGAAGACAGGUUUAGGCCUUUCACAGAAGAAAGGUUCAGACUGCUGCCUGAAGAUGGAACAAGGGCAGCUCAAGAUGAACGAUUUAGGCCAUUUGCAAUGGACCAUGGUAGAGGCAUUGUCAAUCGGAAAGAGUUUGAAGAAGAUUUGAAACAAUUUCCUAGGCCAGCCCAUUUAGAUGGUGAAGGUGCACUGAAGCUUGAUGGUUAUAUAUCCUCAUCAAGGCCUCUGCCUGGGUCCGAUGGAGGUCCUAGUGCUCUCCCUUCGAGACCAUUGCUUCCUUAUCAAUCAGGUGGUCCUUUUCCCACUAGUAGUUUGGGUCCAGAGCACCAUGGUAUGGAUAUCAGAGAGAGACAUAGGCCUGUUGGAUUUCCUGAAGAUUUGGGAAGAAAGUAUGAUCCAGCUCUUGCCCUUCCUGAUUUCCGCAGUUCUGUUUCUGAAUUUGGUCGACGUCGUAUGGAUGCUCUCCCUCCUCUAAGAAGUCCGGGUAGAGAAUACUCUGGCCUUCCAUCAAGUAGAUUUGGACUAGGUAUGGAGAACUUUGAUGGGAGAGAUCCACGUGGAUUCAGUGAGCGAUCAAAAGCUUUAGAUCCAACUGGAAGUACAUACCAUGAUAGUAAGAUUCCUAUACCUUCUGCCCCAGGCUCUGGUGGAUUGCCAAGCCAUCUUUUUAAAGGUGUUCCUGAUGGUCAUGGAAGCCAUCGAAUGGAGCAGCUAGGUGCUGGUUAUUUGACUGGUAAUAUCAGAAAGGAUCUGGAUGUUCCUGAUAUUCCUCCUGUCAACUUGCAUACUGGUGAAUCACUUGGUCAUGGCUUAGCAGGUACCAACAGGAGCGGUGAAGCAUUUGGAGCUCGAAAUUUGCCUAGUCUUCUACGGGGAGGGGAACCUCUUGGACAAGGUCAGUUCCGCAUGGGUGAGCCAACUAGCUUUGGUGGCUUUAGUGUACCAGGCCGCAUUCGUGCAGGUGAUCCAGGUUUUAGUAGCAGCUAUCCUAUGCAUGGUUUUCCAAAUGAAGCUGGACAUCCUACUUCUGGUGACAUGGAUGCCUUUGAGUUUCCAAGAAAGAGAAUGCCUGGGAGCAUGGGGUGGUGCCGCAUAUGUCGGAUUGACUGUGAAACAGUAGAGGGUUUGGAUAUGCAUUCACAAACAAGGGAGCACCAAAAGAUGGCCAUGGAUAUGAUUCUGUGUAUUAAGCAAGAGAUUGCCAAGAAGCAAAGGUUUUAAAAUAACUUUCUACAUAUUAAGGAUCUCUGAAGUCAACAUGCCACUCGAAGAUUCAAAUAAAUCAAGGAAGGCAAGUUUUGAGAACCAUGGAAAUCGACAGUAGACUCAUGGUUGCUUCUAUAGCUGUGGACCUGGUUCUUUGUAACCGAAGUUUCUGUGGCAAGUUAAGAUCGAUUUUGAUAACUUUGUCAUAUUGUGAACAGAUCUUGUGAUUUACUCCCUUGUCAUAACUGCAAAGAUCUUUCUUAGAUUUGGUUGCCAGUGGUGGAGAAAUUGUCUUUAUCACCUUUGUACUGGAAUUGCAGUUUUCCAUAUCGAGAAUGCUUAUUUGAGUUGAUGCUUAUUUUGUUUAGUUCAUUUUUACAUGUUUAUCUUCAAGUUGUAAGUCACGUAUUUUUAAAUAAUUUGUAGAUUUAGGUGUAAUUACCUCCCUUCAA